GAUGAACGCUGGCGGCGUGCCUAAUACAUGCAAGUCGAGCGAACGGACGAGAAGCUUGCUUCUCUGAUGUUAGCGGCGGACGGGUGAGUAACACGUGGAUAACCUACCUAUAAGACUGGGAUAACUUCGGGAAACCGGAGCUAAUACCGGAUAAUAUUUUGAACCGCAUGGUUCAAAAGUGAAAGACGGUCUUGCUGUCACUUAUAGAUGGAUCCGCGCUGCAUUAGCUAGUUGGUAAGGUAACGGCUUACCAAGGCAACGAUGCAUAGCCGACCUGAGAGGGUGAUCGGCCACACUGGAAAUGAGACACGGUCCAGACUCCUACGGGAGGCAGCAGUAGGGAAUCUUCAGCAAUGGGCGAAAGCCUGACGGAGCAACGCCGCGUGAGUGAUGAAGGUCUUCGGAUCGUAAAACUCUGUUAUUAGGGAAGAACAUAUGUGUAAGUAACUGUGCACAUCUUGACGGUACCUAAUCAGAAAGCCACGGCUAACUACGUG
rnacentral:rRNA from 1 species